AUACAGGUAGCUCAAAUUGGUAGAGCAUCGAAGUGUUAAUUCGAUUGUUGUGGGUUCAAAUCCCGCCCUAAAUU
rnacentral:tRNA from 1 species